GUUUAACAUAUGAGUUACACAGGGCUGGAGGCCAAGGUCAAGGUGAAAGUUGCAGUCCAGCCAGGGCCCUUG
rnacentral:sRNA from 1 species